GGUAUUGAUUGGUGCUUGCAUCAUGAUUUACAUUUGAGUGAGUGGCGAACUGGUGAGUAACACGUGGGAAACCUGCCCAGAAGCGGGGGAUAACACCUGGAAACAGAUGCUAAUACCGCAUAACAACUUGGACCGCAUGGUCCGAGCUUGAAAGAUGGCUUCGGCUAUCACUUUUGGAUGGUCCCGCGGCGUAUUAGCUAGAUGGUGGGGUAACGGCUCACCAUGGCAAUGAUACGUAGCCGACCUGAGAGGGUAAUCGGCCACAUUGGGACUGAGACACGGCCCAAACUCCUACGGGAGGCAGCAGUAGGGAAUCUUCCACAAUGGACGAAAGUCUGAUGGAGCAACGCCGCGUGAGUGAAGAAGGGUUUCGGCUCGUAAAACUCUGUUGUUAAAGAAGAACAUAUCUGAGAGUAACUGUUCAGGUAUUGACGGUAUUUAACCAGAAAGCCACGGCUAACUACGUGCCAGCAGCCGCGGUAAUACGUAGGUGGCAAGCGUUGUCCGGAUUUAUUGGGCGUAAAGCGAGCGCAGGCGGUUUUUUAAGUCUGAUGUGAAAGCCUUCGGCUCAACCGAAGAAGUGCAUCGGAAACUGGGAAACUUGAGUGCAGAAGAGGACAGUGGAACUCCAUGUGUAGCGGUGAAAUGCGUAGAUAUAUGGAAGAACACCAGUGGCGAAGGCGGCUGUCUGGUCUGUAACUGACGCUGAGGCUCGAAAGUAUGGGUAGCAAACAGGAUUAGAUACCCUGGUAGUCCAUACCGUAAACGAUGAAUGCUAAGUGUUGGAGGGUUUCCGCCCUUCAGUGCUGCAGCUAACGCAUUAAGCAUUCCGCCUGGGGAGUACGGCCGCAAGGCUGAAACUCAAAGGAAUUGACGGGGGCCCGCACAAGCGGUGGAGCAUGUGGUUUAAUUCGAAGCUACGCGAAGAACCUUACCAGGUCUUGACAUACUAUGCAAAUCUAAGAGAUUAGACGUUCCCUUCGGGGACAUGGAUACAGGUGGUGCAUGGUUGUCGUCAGCUCGUGUCGUGAGAUGUUGGGUUAAGUCCCGCAACGAGCGCAACCCUUAUUAUCAGUUGCCAGCAUUAAGUUGGGCACUCUGGUGAGACUGCCGGUGACAAACCGGAGGAAGGUGGGGAUGACGUCAAAUCAUCAUGCCCCUUAUGACCUGGGCUACACACGUGCUACAAUGGAUGGUACAACGAGUUGCGAACUCGCGAGAGUAAGCUAAUCUCUUAAAGCCAUUCUCAGUUCGGAUUGUAGGCUGCAACUCGCCUACAUGAAGUCGGAAUCGCUAGUAAUCGCGGAUCAGCAUGCCGCGGUGAAUACGUUCCCGGGCCUUGUACACACCGCCCGUCACACCAUGAGAGUUUGUAACACCCAAAGUCGGUGGGGUAA
rnacentral:rRNA from 2 species